AUUUUUGUCGUCCUUAUAUCUGAGGCCCCGAGUCACUGGCAAGACUAUUUUUCUACCGGGUAAAAAAAAAAAAAGCUGGGAGAAUAAAAUAAGUUUCUGUGGGCACUUGAGGAACAAAUGGGAAGAGUUGUGGUGACAAUGUGACAGAGCAACCCAAGGAAUAUUGGGGAAGAAACAAUCCUGAGUUCUUUGGCAGAUUUCUCUUAAAAAGGCACUUUUGGUGAGUUUACAGAAAAAAGCUUAUAACUACAGGUGAGUUAUUGUGGGGGGCAGUUUGAUGGUCAAUAGUGGCUCCCCUCUAGCUGAGACCCUAGUUAGUGCCACACUGCUCCUGACUCCAGAACUGGGGAGGAAAACCCUAAGUUACAUACAUCCUGACAAUGUUGACCAGUGUAAUAGGUCACAGGGGAAGGAGUGAUGCAAUUGUUGCUUCUUGUCUAAAUUAGGCUAUACAAGUUAAGACAGAGUAAAAGGGAGACAAACCAGCUUGUAGAGUUGUAGGGAGCUAACUGUUUGCUCGCUUGGUAAUGCCUCCAUUUACUUUUAUUAAGGUUUUCUGUGAAAUAUCAUGAGUUUCGUUACUUCUUUUAGCAUUUGGGAAAUUGUAGAGAGAUAUUAUCACCUUCUCUCAUCAUCCCUUUUACUCACCCAGAGCAGGAUACGAUAGAAUAAAAGAAUUCUAUAAACUCAUCUUCACAGCUCCUUAGCUCCAGAUAAUGUUGCCAGUUCAAAUGAAGAUGCGAAUGAGGAAGAUUAAAAAGUGUCAGCGCCUCUUGGUCAGAGAAGCCAGCAUCUUAACCACCCAAGGCAGAUGACAAGUGUUAAAUGGAUAGGCAACAGACUGUGGGAUCCUUUGUUUACCCAUGGGUCUAAGGAUGGAAGAUUCUGACAUACAUCUCUGCCUGCUUGCUAGUGACUACCAUGUGUGGGCACCAAGAGGAUUACAGUAUUAUCCUGCUAUUGUUUCUGCGUUGCAUCCACUUCAAUCUUCAGGAAAAUGAAAACAGAAACGGGCCCGGGAGAUUAUAAACAGGCUGUUGCCAUUGAAGUCUGCUCUUCUAAUGUUGUAGCCCAGGAUGCAGGGAAACAAUGGCCUUUCGACACCAGGCUGGCACCCAACUCCAAUUGUCUAGUAGAAGAUUUUCUAGAAGAAUCUGAAACUAUUAAAGAAUAUGAAUAGCAUUAAAUCCGCCCUGAACAAUGAUUUUACCUGUUUAUACUUUGUGUAGUAACAUGCCUUGCGAUGUAUGAGAUCAAAAGCUCUUUCUUUGCAUCCUCAACCUGAAAACCCACCACUUCCUUAAUGCCCUCAAAGUUGUGUUUGUUUUACUGUUUUCAGAGAAGUUCUCACUUCAUACAUUUAAUUCUCAAUGCUGGGGAUGCCGCUAUCAUCUGGAAUAAGAGUCAGUCUCUAGCUUUUGGAAUCCUCUCAGAAUGACAGAUUCUGCAAGUCUCUAACACCACAGGCGUAUAACUGAUGAAAACUCACCAGCUUCAGCAGGCCAAAGCUGUGAUUUCCUGUACAAAACAUAUUGAAACAGAGCCCUCUGUCAUCACCUGCUAUCCGUGGGACAGAUCCUCACCCUGUGUAUCUCCACGGGGAUUCUCAUUGUGCUGAACUCUAUAAAAAAAUUCAAAAAUUCGACAGCUCAUUUUUAAGGUGUGAAUAUAUCCCAUCAUUACCCAUUAGUUACUGAGCACUAGCCGUGCACCUGGCACCUAUUACUCCCGGGGGCAUUUUCAUAGCAAUUCUGGACGUAACUAGAGCCACCACUGCCCCCUCCCCACCCCCGCACCACCAGGGAAAGAAAAGACUACAAGUGUCAAUAUGUGUUGAAAAAGUUAUUAGAAUUCUGCCUUCAACCCAUCACUUACCUACAGAUAGGAAACAACCUCUCUCUUGCUACAAAUGAGUUUGUAGAAAAGAAAAUUUUGCUUUUAUACUCAAAAAAGACCAAGUUUAAGUGUCUUCUUUCUCCAAAUUCAUACCCUCCAGAACCAUACCUAUUAGGAUGAUAUAGGUCAAAUGUGAUUAAUAUUAUCCAAUAUAAUCUAGAUAGUUAAUGUUACAUUAUUUCUCCUGCUUUUCAAAUCAGUCAACAAAAUGGUUAAUAAUAGUCAAAUUCAAGAUUUAGGGAGGAUUUAGUGAGGACAAAUGACCAUUUUGACACUA
rnacentral:lncRNA from 1 species